GGCGGGGUAGCUCAGGUGGUCAGAGCACACGGCUCAUAAUCGUGGUGUCGCGGGUUCAAGUCCCGCCCCCGCUA
rnacentral:tRNA from 4 species